rnacentral:rRNA from 1 species
UACGGAGGGUGCGAGCGUUGUCCGGAAUCAUUGGGCGUAAAGGGCGCGUAGGUGGCCCGGUCAGCGUGCGGUGAAAGCUCGGGGCUCAACCCCGAGUCGGCCGUGCGAACUGCUGGGCUUGAGCACUGUAGAGGCAGGCGGAAUUCCGGGUGUAGCGGUGGAAUGCGUAGAGAUCCGGAAGAACACCGGUGGCGAAGGCGGCCUGCUGGGCAGUGGCUGGACACUGAGGCGCGACAGCGUGGGGGAGCAAACAGGG